UACGUAGGGGGCAAGCGUUGUCCGGAUUUACUGGGCGUAAAGCGCGCGUAGGCGGGAGGUGAAGUCCGGUGGGAAAGCCCACGGCUCAACCGUGGAAGAACGCUGGAAACUCACCUUCUUGAGGGCGGCAGAGGGAAGUGGAAUUGCUGGUGUAGCGGUGAAAUGCGUAGAUAUCAGCAGGAACACCCGUGGCGAAGGCGGCUUCCUGGGCCGCCCCUGACGCUG
rnacentral:rRNA from 1 species